rnacentral:rRNA from 1 species
GAUGAACGCUGGCGGCGUGCCUAAUACAUGCAAGUCGAGCGAACGGACGAGAAGCUUGCUUCUCUGAUGUUAGCGGCGGACGGGUGAGUAACACGUGGAUAACCUACCUAUAAGACUGGGAUAACUUCGGGAAACCGUAGCUAAUACCGGAUAAUAUUUUGAACCGCAUGGUUCAAAAGUGAAAGACGGUCUUGCUGUCACUUAUAGAUGGAUCCGCGCUGCAUUAGCUAGUUGGUAAGGUAACGGCUUACCAAGGCAACGAUGCAUAGCCGACCUGAGAGGGUGAUCGGCCACACUGGAACUGAGACACGGUCCAGACUCCUACGGGGGGCAGCAGUAGGGAAUCUUCCGCAAUGGGCGAAGGCCUGACGGAGCAACGCCGCGUGAGUGAUGAAGGUCUUCGGAUCGUAAAACUCUGUUAUUAGGGAAGAACAUAUGUGUAAGUAACUGUGCACAUCUUGACGGUACCUAAUCAGAAAGCCACGGCUAACUACGUG